UUUUGUUAAUUAUAUUUUAUUUAAUUUCCCAACCUGGCUUUUAAUUUAUAUUUUUGGAUCGACAUUGUUGUCUUUCUCAACCUUCCGAUCUACCGUACAUUUAGUUCGACAAUUAUCGUUGCGAUGCUGUUACUCAACAGAAGAAUGAAUUCAACCACAGGAAAUGAGCCCCUUUUACACUUCAAAGACAGAGCAGAAGAAGAAGAAUCAAAAGCAGAUAACUUAGUCAAAAAAACAUGCCAAGAAUCAAAGAAGAUAUGGGAAAUAGCUGGACCUUCCAUUUUCAGCCGAUUGGCCAUGUUUUCUCUCACAGUUAUCAGUCAAUCCUUCGCCGGCCACUUGGGUAACCGUGACCUCGCCGCCAUUUCCCUUGCCACCACUUUCUUCAUUCCCAUUACUUUCGGCUUCUUGCUGGGAAUGGCCAGUGCUCUGGAGACAUUGUGUGGCCAGGCUUAUGGGGCAAAGCAAUACCACAUGUUGGGUGUAUACUUGCAACGUUCUUGGAUCGUGUUAUUUAUCAGCUCGAUAUUACAGUUGCCUCUUUUUGUUUAUGCUGCACCUAUAUUGGAGCUAUUGGGGCAGCCAGAAGCAGUGGCUAAAUUGACUGGAAAAGUGGCAAUUCUGCUGAUCCCUAUGCACUUGAGCUUCCCUUUUCAGUUUACUUUGUUAAGGUUCCUGCAGUGUCAGCUAAAAACAUCGGUAAUUGCUUGGGUUUCUGGUGGGACACUUGCUCUUCAUGUGGUCUUGAGUUGGAUUUUUCUAUAUGAGCUGGGAGUUGGAAUUGUUGGGACUGCCCUCAUUCUUGAUUUCUCUUGGUGGAUUUCGGUGUUGGGAUUUCUUGCUUACAUUGUCUUUGGUGGUUGCCCUCAUUCUUGGACUGGUUUCUCUAUGCAAGCGUUUGUUGGUCUUUGGGAUUUCUUUAAGCUCUCUGUGGCUUCUGGGGUGAUGCUAUUGUUGGAGCAUAUUUAUUUUAGAGUGCUAGUUAUUGUGUCGGGAUACAUGAACAAUACUGAGGUUGCAGUUGAUGCGCUCUCUAUCUGUGUUACAAUCAUCGGGUGGGAAUCCAUGAUUCCACUAGGUCUUUUGGCAGCAACAGGGGUACGUGUUGCAAAUGAGCUUGGAGCUGGAAAUGGGAACCGUGCAAAGUUUGCCACGAAAGUUGCAUUGUUAAACACUUUAGCAUUGGGCAUUUUAUUUUGGUCAAUAGUUAUGGCCUUUCCUGAUAAGCUUUCAAUGAUAUUCACGUCAAGUACUCCUGUCACUAAAAUGGUGUGUGGAUUUGCAUUCUUGUUGGCAACCACAAUCCUUUGUAAUUGCAUUCAACCAGUUCUUUCAGGCGUAGCAAUUGGAUCUGGUUGGCAGGCACAUGUGGCAUAUGUCAACUUAGGCAGCUAUUAUUUAGUAGGAGUGCCCCUCGGAAUACUUUUUGGAUGGUCACUAAAUUUUGGAUUGACGGGCUUAUGGUAUGGCAUGAUCAUGGGGACAAUAGUUCAAACCUUGAUUUUAACAAUUAUGACGAUCAGAUGUCAAUGGACCAGAUAAGGAGGUAUGAGAAGCUGAAAUUCGAGAUGAAUGUCAACGACAUUAUUCUUGAUUCAUUAACACUCACUAACAAAGGGUCUCACACGCAAGCAGAAAACUCGGGGUCUGCUAAUGUUGGAAGAUAGUUGUGCUAUUUGUUGGAAUGAAUCAAAAGACCAGAGGAUUAGCAUCAGUUUUUCAUUAUAUUUCAGAGAAAUCAGAGCUUUCAACCAAAUUUAUGUCCAAACUCUGGCUAUAUUAUGGAGUUCGGCUUUAUAUAAAUUUUCUUAAACAACUUUGCUUCUUCUUUUUGCCCCUCUAUUAUUUCUGGUUCUUUAGCUUUAGGAGAGCAGGGGAAGGGAAUUUGAAUGAUAUAGACAUUUAACAGGUUAAAUUCGUCCAAUCACUUGCUAUUGCAGGAGUAAUAUACAACAUUUUUUCCCUACCAAAAAUAGUUUCGUAGAUGGCUUGAUGAUGAUGGAGAUGAAGAAGGGCAAAGAUAACUUUUUGCCCGCGGCUGAAAUUAUUUGUAUCCGGUAGAGCCGUAAAAAUGUAUAAAAUUUGUAUAUUUUUUGUGUAUAACAUACAGAAAUAUAUGCAUAUACAA